CGCGUAGGCGGUCAGGUAAGUCAGAUGUGAAAUCCCCGGGCUCAACCCGGGAACUGCAUCUGAUACUGCUUGACUAGAGUUUGGUAGAGGCAAGUGGAAUUCCGGGUGUAGCGGUGAAAUGCGUAGAUAUCCGGAGGAACACCAGUGGCGAAGGCGACUUGCUGGACUAAAACUGACGCUGAGGUGCGAAAGCGGUGGGGAGCAAACA
rnacentral:rRNA from 1 species